GGUGCACAAACAGGGAGUUUGCUCCCAGCUACGCCACGUGGAAAGUCCCCGUGCCUCCAGGCAGAGAGUGCCAGCACUAGAUGGUUUGGUCCUGGUCAUCGCAAAGGCGUUGAAGCUUCCGGCGGAGAUGCAGUGCG
rnacentral:RNase_MRP_RNA from 1 species